UGGGGAAUAUUGGACAAUGGGCGCAAGCCUGAUCCAGCCAUGCCGCGUGAGUGAUGACGGCCUUAGGGUUGUAAAGCUCUUUCGGCGGGGACGAUAAUGACGGUACCCGCAGAAGAAGCCCCGGCUAACUUCGUGCCAGCAGCCGCGGUAAUACGAAGGGGGCUAGCGUUGUUCGGAAUCACUGGGCGUAAAGGGCGCGUAGGCGGCUUUGUAAGUCGGGGGUGAAAGCCUGUGGCUCAACCACAGAAUUGCCUUCGAUACUGCGAGGCUUGAGACCGGAAGAGGUUAGUGGAACUGCGAGUGUAGAGGUGAAAUUCGUAGAUAUUCGCAAGAACACCAGUGGCGAAGGCGGCUGACUGGUCCGGAUCUGACGCUGAGGCGCGAAAGCGUGGGGAGCAAACAGG
rnacentral:rRNA from 2 species